rnacentral:rRNA from 1 species
GGCCAACCCCUGCCGCCCCCCCUACACCUUCCAAUUCAAACAACCAAAAAAAACCUUGGCUUCCCCAACCAAUUGCCAACCGGUUAAUUACCCCUUGAGAACCCGCCCCCAAAAAGGGGAACACCAUUUGAAACCAACGGCUAUUCCCCCAUAACCCCCCGGCUCGCCUCCAACCAAAGGGAAAAGGACCAUCCCCCUUUGAGAUGGGCCUCCGCGUCCGAUUAGCUAGUUGGUGAGGUAACGGCCCACCAAGGCGACGAUCGGUAGCCGGACUGAGAGGUUGAACGGCCACAUUGGGACUGAGACACGGCCCAGACUCCUACGGGAGGCAGCAGUGGGGAAUAUUGCACAAUGGGGGAAACCCUGAUGCAGCGACGCCGCGUGGAGGAAGAAGGUCUUCGGAUUGUAAACUCCUGUUGUUGAGGAAGAUAAUGACGGUACUCAACAAGGAAGUGACGGCUAACUACGUGCCGGCAGCCGCGGUAAAACGUAGGUCACAAGCGUUGUCCGGAAUUACUGGGUGUAAAGGGAGCGCAGGCGGGAAGACAAGUUGGAAGUGAAAUCCAUGGGCUCAACCCAUGAACUGCUUUCAAAACUGUUUUUCUUGAGUAGUGCAGAGGUAGGCGGAAUUCCCGGUGUAGCGGUGGAAUGCGUAGAUAUCGGGAGGAACACCAGUGGCGAAGGCGGCCUACUGGGCACCAACUGACGCUGAGGCUCGAAAGUGUGGGUAGCAAACAGGAUUAGAUACCCUGGUAGUCCACACUGUAAACGAUGAUUACUAGGUGUUGGAGGAUUGACCCCUUCAGUGCCGCAGUUAACACAAUAAGUAAUCCACCUGGGGAGUACGACCGCAAGGUUGAAACUCAAAGGAAUUGACGGGGGCCCGCACAAGCAGUGGAGUAUGUGGUUUAAUUCGACGCAACGCGAAGAACCUUACCAAGUCUUGACAUCCCUUGACGAUGCUGGAAACAGUAUUUCUCUUCGGAGCAAGGAGACAGGUGGUGCAUGGUUGUCGUCAGCUCGUGUCGUGAGAUGUUGGGUUAAGUCCCGCAACGAGCGCAACCCUUAUGGUCAGUUACUACGCAAGAGGACUCUGGCCAGACUGCCGUUGACAAAACGGAGGAAGGUGGGGAUGACGUCAAAUCAUCAUGCCCUUUAUGACUUGGGCUACACACGUACUACAAUGGCGUUAAACAAAGAGAAGCAAGACCGCGAGGUGGAGCAAAACUCAGAAACAACGUCCCAGUUCGGACUGCAGGCUGCAACUCGCCUGCACGAAGUCGGAAUUGCUAGUAAUCGCAGAUCAGCAUGCCGCGGUGAAUACGUUCCCGGGUCUU